CAGUCGCCACGGUAAUACGAAGGGUGCAAGCGUUAAUCGGAAUUACUGGGCGUAAAGCGCACGCAGGCGGUUUGUUAAGUCAGAUGUGAAAUCCCCGAGCUUAACUUGGGAACUGCAUUUGAAACUGGCAAGCUAGAGUCUUGUAGAGGGGGGUAGAAUUCCAGGUGUAGCGGUGAAAUGCGUAGAGAUCUGGAGGAAUACCGGUGGCGAAGGCGGCCCCCUGGACAAAGACUGACGCUCAGGUGCGAAAGCGUGGGGAGCAAACAGGAUUAGAUACCCGCGUAGUCCCUGUCUCUUAUAC
rnacentral:rRNA from 1 species